CAAGAUUUCUCUGGGUCUUUUAUCUCCGUUGGUCUCAUUACUCCCACUCCAGAAUUACCCCCAGUAAUUCUACAUAGAAUUUCCCCUCAUCAGCUAUGAAAUAGUCAUAUCUUAUCA
rnacentral:lncRNA from 13 species